UGCGUAACGCGUGGGAAUCUGCCCUUGGGUUCGGAAUAACAGUUAGAAAUGACUGCUAAUACCGGAUGAUGUCUUCGGACCAAAGAUUUAUCGCCCAGGGAUGAGCCCGCGUAGGAUUAGGUAGUUGGUGGGGUAAUGGCCCACCAAGCCGACGAUCCUUAGCUGGUCUGAGAGGAUGAUCAGCCACACUGGGACUGAGACACGGCCCAGACUCCUACGGGAGGCAGCAGUGGGGAAUAUGGACAAUGGCGAAAGCCUGAUCCAGCA
rnacentral:rRNA from 1 species